GUAGGUGAACCUGCGGAAGGAUCAUUAUUGAAUGAACUUGGCUCGUUGUUGCUGGUCCUUUCGGGGGCAUGUGCACACUUGUCAUCUUUAUAUUUCCACCUGUGCACAUUUUGUAGGUCCAAAAAAAUUUUCCCGAGACACUCGUUUUGGGGGACUGCCGUUCGUUAAUGUCGGCUUCCCCUGUUGGCCUGUAUAGGUCAAAAAAAAUUUUCCGAGACACUCGUUUGGGGCACUGCCGUCCGUUAGGUCA
rnacentral:misc_RNA from 1 species